rnacentral:rRNA from 1 species
UACGUAGGGGCCGAGCGUUGUCCGGAAUUAUUGGGCGUAAAGAGCUUGUAGGCGGUUUGUCGCGUCUGCUGUGAAAUUUCGGGGCUCAACCCCGAACUUGCAGUGGGUACGGGCAGACUAGAGUGUGGUAGGGGAGACUGGAAUUCCUGGUGUAGCGGUGAAAUGCGCAGAUAUCAGGAGGAACACCGAUGGCGAAGGCAGGUCUCUGGGCCACUACUGACGCUGAGACGCGAAAGCGUGGGGAGCGAACAGG